UCACGACAUCCGGAGCGGCUCGCAAGGUGCGGGCCCGGCAACCUGGGGCGGACAUCCCAAGGUGCCAGCCCGGUCGGCCACCAGGCCGAUCGUGGCGAUGCGGUUCGAGACGAACAAUCAAAGUGUCCGUG
rnacentral:ncRNA from 2 species